rnacentral:rRNA from 1 species
AUUGAGCGCUGGCGGCAUGCCUUACACAUGCAAGUCGAACGGCAGCACGGGUGCUUGCACCUGGUGGCGAGUGGCGAACGGGUGAGUAAUACAUCGGAACAUGUCCUGUAGUGGGGGAUAGCCCGGCGAAAGCCGGAUUAAUACCGCAUACGAUCUACGGAUGAAAGCGGGGGACCUUCGGGCCUCGCGCUAUAGGGUUGGCCGAUAGCUGAUUAGCUAGUUGGUGGGGUAAAGGCCUACCAAGGCGACGAUCAGUAGCUGGUCUGAGAGGACGACCAGCCACACUGGGACUGAGACACGGCCCAGACUCCUACGGGAGGCAGCAGUGGGGAAUUUUGGACAAUGGGCGAAAGCCUGAUCCAGCAAUGCCGCGUGUGUGAAGAAGGCCUUCGGGUUGUAAAGCACUUUUGUCCGGAAAGAAAUCCUUGGCUCUAAUACAGUCGGGGGAUGACGGUACCGGAAGAAUAAGCACCGGCUAACUACGUG